GGCUUUAUGUAAGUGAAAGAUUCUGUAAAUUAUAAUUUUUACUUACGUGGGAGAUGGGAAAGAAUUAGAUAUUUGCCAGAGUAAAUUCUGUGUACAUUCACUGUUUGGCUUUGUUUUCUUUUUUUAAUUAAAGUUUCUAUGUCUUUAGCGCUCUGAACUGAUAGAGGACAAAGAUAAUGGGAGAAAGGAUUUGCAAAAAUGACAGGGAAGUAAUAUCUCUACUAGAAAUUAGAGAAGAUUUAUCAUGUGCAUUUUUAAAAACCUAGUUGUAAUUUUUCCAGCUACUUAUUGUACAGAAGUAGGUGUGGACUAAAAGUAGAAGUAAACAGUGGACUUUUGCACAGUCUUAGUCAUGAAGUGAUUAAUAAUUGCCAAUAAUACAGAAUAAAAUGACCUGGGUUUCCAUGAAUAAAGAAAUGGUAGAAUUUGUAGUUUACCUUCUAUUGCCUAUACUUUUGAUGAAAUACUAUACAGUAGCAUUAAAAUUUUUACUGUUGAUUUAUCAAAUUAACCUCCUAAAAACAGUACAGUACUACUUUUGAAUUAGAUUUCAGUCAUCUGAAUCUUGAAUCUGUAAGAAUAUUUAUUAUUAUGACCAAAUAAAAGUUUUCCAUGGAAGGUAAAGGAGGUUCAAUACUUGAAAUUUUAUUCAUAAUUUAUUAGCCAACCAAAUGGAGGAGGAGGGAGUAAUAGCGUAGUAAAUGUGAUUUUAAUGAUAAAUAACAUACUGAAUGAUUUUCUUAUUUUACAUCUAUCUGAAAACAGUUGCCAGGUAUACUUCAUGUUGAAAAAUAGAUUAAACCUUUUAAAUGGGUUAUCAGAUUAUCCCAGUAUUACCAUUCUUAUUUAACAACAUUUAGAAUUGUUGUCCAAACUGAUUAUCAAAAAAAAAACAAAAAACUAAAAAACAAUGAGGUAAAAGUUUAAGGAGAAAUACAUCUAAUUCACAGUAGUAAUGGCAAAUAGAGACCAGUGGAGAAUAAACCUAAUUUAGAAAUGUGGCCAAAAA
rnacentral:lncRNA from 1 species